AAAACGGAUCCUUUAGGAUCCCUCUUAGAAUCCCUAAAAGGAAUAAG
rfam:Melipona quadrifasciata isolate 0111107301 unplaced genomic scaffold scaffold227, whole genome shotgun sequence.